ACAUGAAGCUGGAAUCGCUGUAAUCGCGAAUCAGAAUGUCGCGGUGAAUACGUUCCCGGGUCUUGUACACACCGCCCGUCACACCAUGGGAGAUGGAUAUGCCCAAAGUCAGUGACCUAACCGCAAGGGAGGAGCUGCCUAAGGUGGAGCCAUUAACUGGGGUGAAGUCGUAACAAGGUACC
rnacentral:rRNA from 1 species